UAAAAGAUAAACACAGAAGAAAGAGUGCAGACAAAGAAUUUAGUGUUUGUGCCCUCAGCAGAUGGAGAAAACUAUACUUUGUUUCCUGACGGUGCUUGUGUUGCUAGGAAAUUUCACAUAUGCAGAGAUUUGUGAAUCACACCGAUUUUGGGUGUUCGGUUGCUCCCAGGGUGAAUGUCAGAUAGGCUGCGAAAUUACAUACCCAGGAAAGAACAUCAAGAAAGCUUCAUGUACUAAAAACUAUUGCAUAUGUGUAGUUUGUAACUAGAACUACACUCUAGUCAUGGAUAUGUAUGACAUCAUGUGAUAAACGUCAAAGACAUGAAUAAUAAAGUUGAAUAAUAUAUGCUGA